AGUGAAGUGUCCUCACAAUGAGACGUCCACAGGGCGGUGAAGAAGGUGAAGCUGCAGCCUCUGAAUAUGAGAACCCAACCAGAACCUCCAAGCUGCCAUCAGAGAAAGUGGUCCUGCUGGUUCUGGGAUCUCUGCUGGCUGCUGCUCUCAUCAUCAUCUACAGACUCUCUUUUGAUAAGAUACAAACAAAUCAAGCUGUCCAGACCCUGAAAGAGGAGAAAGAAGCGCUAAGGAGAAAUAUCUCAGAACUGAUGUCUAAAAUAUCUGCAUGUUCACCACCUCCAACAUGUCCAAAAACUC